AUGUGCUUUGGCAAAGUGGGUGGGGUUAUAUCCUUCCUGUUUGGCCCUGUCCGGGGUGUCCUCGGAUGGGGCCACAGUGUCUCCUGACCCCUCCUGUCUCAGCCUCCAGUAUUUAUGCUGCAGUAGUUUAUGUGUCGGGGGGCUAGGGUCAGUUUGUUAUAUCUGGAGUACUUCUCCUGUCCUAUUCGGUGUCCUGUGUGAAUCUAAGUGUGCGUUCUCUAAUUCUCUCCUUCUCUCUUUCUUUCUCUCUCUCUCGGAGGACCUGAGCCCUAGGACCAUGUCCCAGGACUACCUGACAUGAGGACUCCUUGCUGUCCCCAGUCCACCUGGCCAUGCUCCUGCUCCAGUUUCAACUGACCUGAGCCCUAGGACCGUGCCCCAGGACUACCUGACAUGAAGGCUCCUUGCUGUCCCCAGUCCACCUGACUGUGCUGCUGCUCCAUUUCAACUGUUCUGCCUUAUUAUUAUUCGACCAUGCUGGUCAUUUAUGAACAUUUGAACAUCUUGGUCAUGUUCUGUUAUAAUCUCUACCCGGCACAGCCAGAAGAGGACUGGCCACCCCACAUAGCCCGGUUCCUCUCUAGGUUUCUUCCUAGGUUUUGGCCUUUCUAGGGAGUUUUUCCUAGCCACCGUGCUUUUACACCUGCAUUGUUUGCUGUUUGGGGUUUUAGGCUGGGUUUCUGUACAGCACUUUGAGAUAUCAGCUGAUGUACGAAGGGCUAUAUAAAUAAAUUUGAUUUUGAUUUGAUUUGA